CCUACGGGUGGCAGCAGUGGGGAAUUUUGGACAAUGGGCGCAAGCCUGAUCCAGCCAUGCCGCGUGCAGGAAGAAGGCCUUCGGGUUGUAAACUGCUUUUGUCAGGGAAGAAAAGGCUCCUUCUAAUAAAGGGGGCUCAUGACGGUACCUGAAGAAUAAGCACCGGCUAACUACGUGCCAGCAGCCGCGGUAAUACGUAGGGUGCAAGCGUUAAUCGGAAUUACUGGGCGUAAAGCGUGCGCAGGCGGCUUUGUAAGACAGAGGUGAAAUCCCCGGGCUCAACCUGGGAACUGCCUUUGUGACUGCAAAGCUAGAGUACGGCAGAGGGGGAUGGAAUUCCACGUGUAGCAGUGAAAUGCGUAGAUAUGUGGAGGAACACCGAUGGCGAAGGCAAUCCCCUGGGCCUGUACUGACGCUCAUGCACGAAAGCGUGGGGAGCAAACAGGAUUAGAUACCCGGGUAGUC
rnacentral:rRNA from 1 species